CGAUGAGGUAGAGGUGCGAAUAAUAAGAGUAAGCAAUCGGAGUAUGACAUCGUUGAGGAUUGCCGAAAGGAUUAUUUGCCGAAGCAAAAGUGAAAGUCGAAUUCAUUAUUGCUGGGAUGUCUUCUGAAUAAGAGGCAUACUGUCAUGCAACGCUAGUGCAUGGAGAACUACUGAUCAG
rnacentral:ncRNA from 2 species